AUGCAGAUUUUCAUAACAACCUUUAUGGAGAAAGCCAUCAGUCUUGAGGUUGAACCCUUGGAUACAAGGAAAUGUAAAAGCCAACAUCCAAGAUAAGGAAGGAAUUCCUUCUGACGAGUAAAGACUGAUCUUUGCUGGCAAGCAACUGGAAGACGGAUGUGCUUUGUCUGACUACAACAUUCAAAAGGAGUCCACCCUUCUUGUGUUGAGACUUCGUGGUGGCCCUAAGAAAAGGAAGAAGUCUUAAACUACUCCCAAAAAGAAUAGCAUAAAAGAAAAAAGGUGAAGCUGGCUGUCCUAAAAUACCAUAAGGUGGAUGAGAAUAGCAAAAAUAGUCACCUUCGUCAGGAGUACCCUUCAGAUGAAUGUGGUGCUGAAGUGUUUAUGGCCAGCCACUCUGACAGACAUUAUUUUGGCAAACGUCUGACCUAUUGCUUCAACAAACCAGAAGACAAGUAA
rnacentral:lncRNA from 1 species